rnacentral:rRNA from 1 species
GGCCCGCACAAGCGGUGGAGCAUGUGGUUUAAUUCGAUGAUACGCGAGGAACCUUACCAGGGCUUAAAUGUAGUUUGACCGGUCUGGAAACAGACUUUCUCUUCGGAGCAGAUUACAAGGUGCUGCAUGGUUGUCGUCAGCUCGUGCCGUGAGGUGUUAGGUUAAGUCCUGCAACGAGCGCAACCCCUAUUCUUAGUUGCCAGCGGUUCGGCCGGGGACUCUAAGAAGACUGCCAGCGCAAGCUGAGAGGAAGUGGGAUGACGUCAAUCAUCACGGCCCUUACGUCCUGGGCUACACACGUGCUACAAUGGUAGAGACAGAGGGCAGCCACCUGGUGACAGGAGCGAAUGCCUUAAACUCUAUCUCAGUUCGGA